UGAAGCAUAUGUGGAACCAUUCUCAAAAUUAAUGUUUCCUUUUUUUUAUCUCACCAUGUCUUAUCCAACAUGUAUAGCUUUGAUCAAUUUCAUGUCAUACUAAAUGUCCUUCCAAUUCAUCUUCUCUAACGUGUUUUCCAAGACAACAUUUUAAACAAGGACAAACGAAUCUAUUUGGAUCUUUUGCAUUCUUCACUACAAACUCAACAAAGUCAUUCACUCCAUU
rnacentral:lncRNA from 1 species